rnacentral:lncRNA from 1 species
GCUUCCUGCCCCAGCGCCAACACCAACUUCCCUUCCAGUGGGUGGGUGUCUGGGGCCACAGCGCCUACUAGGUAUUUUCCAUCCCUUUCCUGGUAACAAGCCUGUUCAUUGGCUGAGAAGAGGAAUGGAAUUGGGAGACAUAUGACAAAGAGAUCAGACAGAGCCGUGUUUCUCAAGAUGGGGCUACCUAAACGGCCCUGGAAACAGGCCCCGGUGACGCUUAGAGUUUUCAAACCACUGCCGAACAGCAGCCGGGAAACUGGUUCCUGCCAUGCUGGCGUGUUGGGGAAAGUCCCGCAGCGACCACGGAGACUGCAGACUCGGGAGGGCGGGGUGGGCAGAGGCCUCCUAAGGGGCCGUCGUUGCCCGGGCGAUUUCUCACGCCGGGCGAGGCCGUGCUUCCUUACGAACGACUCUUCGGACUCUGCAAAGGCAAUGCGAUUGCCCCAUUUUCAGAGCUGGGAGAACCGGGGCUUUUGCAACACCCGGGACAAGCCUGUGCAUCUCCUCUUGAGCCCUGGGAAUGCCACCGGGAGCAGCCCCCCUUGGUGAUGUCCAACCCCCUGCAGUCAUAGGAAGGAACAAGCCCUGUAACUGCUCCAAAGGCGGGAAAUCUUUCAAACAAAGCCAUUUUUGUAACUCGGGAAUUCCUGACCCCUCCUAGUUUCUUUGGACCUGGAUCACAACCCUGCAAGAGGGAAGGGAAGAAAGAACCAGCCUGUCCUCGGCCUCUGUGCUGGAGAGGAAGCUGGCUGUGCCAUCGCCUGGGCCUCCCAGAGCCGGACGGAGGGUCAGGCUCGCUCGCCACACGGUAGCAUCAGCUCUGCCCGGCCUCCAUUUUCUCAUUUAUAAAAUGAGGAAAUAUCUCCCGUGACCAGUUGUGAAGAUGAAAUAUGCACAUGCGUGGAAAACACGGAGCUCGGUGCCUGGCACAUGGAGGUGAUCCAUUAAAAAGGUGGCAGAACCUGCAGACUGUGCCCCUGACACGGCUGGGACAUCCAGGCCCACCAGUGGGUGUGGCCUAGAUGUUGCCUUUUCUCUUCUUUUCCUUUGGAGAAAAUAAUCUAAAGAAAAAUGCUACAGGGGCCCGCCCGGUGGUGCAGCAGUUAAGUCUGCAGGUUCCACUUCAGCGGCUCGGGGUUGGUGGGUUUGGAUUCCGGUGCGGACAUGGCACCGCUUGGCAAGCCAUGCUGUGGCAGGCAUCCCACAUACAAAGUAGAGGAAGAUGAGCAUGGAUGUUAGCUCAGGGCCAGUCUUCUUCAGCAAAAAAAAGAAAGAAAAGUGCUACAGAAAGAGAUUGCCUUGCUGUGGCUCUCAGAGACACACACACAUUCUCUCACGCGCGCACACACACACACACACACACAAACACAACUGCUGGCACACAAGGGCUGUGCCACACCCGGGCAGUCUUGGGUGAUCCCAGCUGCUUCUGACUCACUCGCUGCCCUCAGGGCUGGUGACUCAUUCGAGGAAAGUCCUCGGCAGGGAGGCCGGUGGAGAGUGUGCGUCUCUGUGCCUGGGCAUUCCUGUGGAAGGGAUGGCGUGGUCAGAGAAGGAUGAGAUUUUGCCGAUCCCCUGAGACAGCCUGGUAGGGGAGGCUUUGAAAAGUAUAAAGAGCUGUGUUUGCUCAGGUUGAAAAACUGGACCUUGUCCAGUGGCGGCGGCAGUAAUCAUUGUGUGCAUCUGCAAAUAAAGUUAAGCAGCUGAUGACAGCAACAGGCCUUUGUGAGCUGAGUCUGGUGUGCACAGAGGCCCUGGGAGGCUGGUGAAUCUGAGGCCAGGGCUGCACGGAAGAGGGUGUUGCCUGCCGGGCAGGGGAGAGGCGGUCCAGGGUGAGCCACAGGGCCCUCCUGCCCCAGGGCUCCUGGAAGGUUCUGAUUUGACUGCCCUGAGAGGUCUGGGCCGCCCAGUACUCUGUUGCUUAGAGGACUCAGGAAGGGAACCUCGGCCAUCUGCCUGGAGGAGGCGCUUCCCCCGGGGAUGAACAGUCCUGGAGGAGACUGGCAGAGAUGUCUGUACUCCUGGCUGCUAUGCCUCACUGAGCAGGUGGACAAGCUGUCGCCCAAGAAUCCAGAGCCAGAAGAAAUUGGGGUGGGCCCAAAAGAAAUCGGACGGUGAAACAAAUUCACAGCUUCCAGGAAAGGCUGUCUCUUUCCUCUGUUCUCAAUAGUGAUGAUUUCCUAAAACCCUUGCCCCAGAAACCUACCAGCUAGAAAUGAAUGCCUGUGUCUCCCAUUUCAUCCAAGGGUAGAAAAAGCGGAGCCUGGUGGCGGCCAGUGGUACCUGUCCGUCAGGCAGCGUGCCCAGACUUGAAACUGGAGAUGGAGGAUGUCAAAGGAAAACACAUCGAGACUUAGAUGGAGAAGGGUUAAUUAGAAAGAAAGAUUAGUGCAAUAGAGAGAACAGUCUGAUCUCUGACGCCUGCAAGUGUCUCGAAAUCAAGCAGAAAAGGAGUUCUCUCUUAUGGGGUAAGGGAGGGGCAGGCCGCGAUAAAGCGAAUCUCUGGAAGGGAAGCUGGACAAACACGGGGAACUGACUGGGGCUCGGACAGGAAAAGCUCCAGCUGUAAUCAGCCGCCUCCCAGGAGAAGCUGAGGAAGGGGGCACAUUCCACUUUUAUUGUGUUUGCUCAGACUUGGAGGCAAGCGGAGUUCAAAGUCCUGUAGGAAAGAAAGAAACCCGACUAAAGUUUGGAAAAGCAAAGCAGAGUGUAAGAAUUGGGCACUGAAUGCUUAGUCGAGGACGAGACUAGGUUGGGGAGGGGAGGACAAUAUUGGUGAAUUCAAAACCAAACCCAAAAUGUAGGCUGAUUCCAUAGAAAUGGGGCGGCUGCUGACUGCACUCCUUGGUAUGUCAACCUGCAAAAACAGAAAGCAGUUCAGUUAUAACUCCUAUGAAAGUGUUCAUAAAGGCAUAAACUUAACAGACUUCUGUAGAAACUUUUCUUUUAGGCACCUCUCAAAUCUUAACUUUUCUUUUUCUUUGUUUUUUUUUAAGGAAGAUUAGCCCUGAACUAACAUCUGCCGCCAAUCCUCCUCUUUUUGCUGAGGAAGACUGGCCCUGAGCUAACAUCUGAUGAGGAUUUUUAGGCUGGCUACUUUUAAAACUGCAGAUGAGAAGCAGGCUCCAAGGAGCAGAGUUUGCUUGCCCUUUGUUGGGAGGCAUUUACAUUUGUCGGGGAAACCCUCAUCUGUAAAGAUGCCUCCCUCUCUGUGCCAGGAAGAAGGGAGAUGACCUCAUCUCUAGAAACUCUUAAUCAAUGCCAAAGGAAAGAACUUAAGUUGUUUACUGUCUGGCAACCUCAUGUAACUGACCCCCCCCCCUUUGUCUUUAGCUGAAGGUAAUAUUUAAGCGGUGACUUCUGCCCUUUACUUAAUCCAGUUUGAUUCUUAUCUAAAAGUUAUAGGACCACCCAAUAACCAGAACCCUACCAGCACCAAAACCAUUUUAACAACUCUUUUUACAUAUUCUUUCCUUUGUCUUGUAAAGAAAUAACUCACAUACCUAUGCCUUAAAUUUAGCCUUAUUCUUCACCCAUGUUUGCAGCAGCAGCAGCUCCCCAUGCCAGCAGCAUCUCUGACUGCCCGUGGGUCCUGUCCCCACGCAGCAGCUCUGACUGCCCAUGGGUCCUGUCCCCAUGCAGCAACAGCUCUUUACUGUCCAUGGGUCCUGUCCCCAUUGCUAUUCCACACUAUUCUCUAAAUAAAAGAGCACUACUGCCAGAACUUGAGAGUCCAAGAAAUCUUUCUUUCGACUCCUCGGCUCACCGACCCCGCAUCACAUCCAUGCCCAUCUUCCCUACUUUAUAUGUGGGACGCCUGCCACAGCAUGGUUUGACAAACAGUGCCAUGUCUGCACCUGGGAUCCAAACCCAAGAACUCUGGGCCGCCGAACCAGAAUGUGUGAACUUAACCACUGUGCCACCAGGCCAGCCCCUCAAAUUUAAUUUUUCAUUAGCUUUUUGCAAUGAAACUUUCAAUAUGGCUAUUUUGGAAUUUUGAAGCCUUUGCUUUCAAAUGCACUUCUUAAAUGCUCUUCUCUAAUUGGAAUGUCCCUUCUAAUGGCCAAUGUAAUUCCCCUGAUGCUGGCUGCAGUUUGGCAGGACCCUAGCCACAAAUGGGCUGUCACCCACAUUGCUGUUGUAGGGGAGAAAGACAUUUUCUCUUAAACUGUAGGGGAGGAAGACAUUUCCUCUUCCCAAAUGUGGGUUCGUCUGGCCGGAGAACGAAUUAAAUUCACAUGAGACAGAAUAGCAAGAGAAAAUUAAACAAAGCUUUAUGAGGAACCAUGGCCCGGGGCCUUUCUUCCCAAAGGAAGAAAGGGCACCGAAGAAGUGGGGUGCACAUAGUGGUUAUAUACCCCCAAACAGGGUGUUUCACAUGUGAUUGAAAUGUCCCUCUCACAAUAGUCAGAAGAUUGCCCUGUCGGCACAGUGCUUGAUGGACACAGCAGGUAAUGGUCUGCUAUCUCUGUGGGUGUCGCAGGAGGCAAGUCUAUUGUCUGGAGCUGGGCGGCCACAGGUGAGCACAGCAAUCAGUUCCUUCCCUAAGGAAAGAUGCUUAAUCCUUAAAGAAAUGCCAGCGUUGGGAGGGGGAGGGAAGUCAGUUACAGGAGGUUACCAGACUAGCACAAUAAAAUGAAG